AAAAAUUGAAAGAGUUUAAAAGAAGUAGAUCAUAUUACCUGGAACAGCAAGGAGAAACCCAGAACCAGGAAAAAAUUGCAAGUUGGUGAUGAACAAACAAUUUAGUAGAAUAUAAAGCAAUUGUUUCAACGUGGAAAUUGUUUUGGAGGGAAGAUUGAGCGGGUAAAUCAAAGGGUAAAAAUGGGUUUUCAUAGUAGAACAUGGGUUCAUGGUUCCUGGGAACAAAAUUUUCCAGCCCUCAUCUCAUGGGAAUAAAUUGGAGAAGAACGUGGUGAGAAAGUGGGUAGUUUGAGGUUCCUGGGUACUUU
rnacentral:lncRNA from 1 species